GCGGAAAUGGUGGAAUUGGUAGACACGCUAGAUUUAGGAUCUAGUGCCGCGAGGCGUGGAGGUUCAAGUCCUCUUUUCCGCACCA
rnacentral:tRNA from 1 species